CCGGUGGCGAAGGCGGCCUGCUGGGACAGUGCUGACGCUGAGGCACGAAAGCGUGGGGAGCGAACGGGAUUAGAUACCCCGGUAGUCCACGCCGUAAACGAUGGAUACUAGAUGUUGGACACGCUGAAGUGUUCAGUGUCGAAACAAAUGCGAUAAGUAUCCCGCCUGGGGAGUACGACCGCAAGGUUUAAACUCAAAGGAAUUGACGGGGGCCCGCACAAGCGGUGGAGCAUGUGGUUUAAUUCGAUGCAACGCGAAGAGCCUUACCCGGAUUUGACAUCCUUCGGACCGUCUCUGGAGACAGAGACUUUCUCUUCGGAGACCGAAGUGACAGGUGCUGCAUGGCUGUCGUCAGCUCGUGUUGUGAAAUGUUGGGUUAAGUCCCGCAACGAGCGCAACCCUUGUUCUUAGUUGCCAGCAUUAAGAUGGGCACUCUAAGAAGACUGCCGAGGUUAACUCGGAGGAAGGUGGGGAUGACGUCAAGUCCUCAUGGCCCUUAUGUCCGGGGCUACACACGUGCUACAAUGGUAUAGACAGAGGGAAGCUACGCCGCAAGGCCACGCGGAUCCUCAAACUGUAUCACAGUUCGGAUCGGGGUCUGCAACUCGACCUCGUGAAGGUGGAAUCGCUAGUAAUCGCGGAUCAGCAUGCCGCGGUGAAUAAGUUCCCGGGC
rnacentral:rRNA from 1 species